AUGGUGGGAGGAGCGCUGAUCUCGGUCUACCCGGACGACCUCACCUUCCUCUUCGAGCUGGACAAGCCGUGCUACUGCAAUCUCAAGGUGGUGAACAACAGCGAGCACCAUGUCGCCUUCAAGGUCAAGACGACGUCUCCGAGGAAGUACUUCGUCCGGCCGAACGCCAGCGUCGUCCAGCCGUGGGAUUCUUGCACGAUAACAAUUACCCUACAGUCACAGAAAGAGUACCCCCCAGAUAUGCAAUCCAAGGAUAAAUUCUUGAUUCAGAGCACCAGGGUGGCUGCCAGCACCGACAUGGAUGAAAUCCCCCCUGACACUUUCAACAAGGAGGCUGAUAAGGUGAUCGAGGAAAUGAAGCUCAAGGUUGUCUACACAUUGCCCAGUGGAAGCUCAGACGACUCUGGUGUUACAUCUUCAGCAAAUAGGAGCUUCAAGCAGGGCGGUGAUGAUCUCUCGAUGCUGAAGAAUGCAAGCAUUGAAGAGAUCCAGACAAUACAGCGUCUGAAGGACGAAAGGGAUAACAAUCUUCAGCAAAAUCAACAAAUGCAACGUGAACUGGACAUGCUGAGGAGGCGUAGAAGCCGCAAAGGCGAUGCUGGUUUCUCUUUGACCUUUGCUGCUUUUGCUGGGAUCAUAGGUCUCCUGGUUGGGCUCUUGAUGAGCCUCAUCUUCUCUUCCCCACCAGCGACUGCUUAG
rnacentral:rRNA from 1 species